rnacentral:rRNA from 1 species
GAUGAACGCUGGCGGCGUGCCUAAUACAUGCAAGUAGAACGCUGAAGCUUGGUGCUUGCACCGAGCGGAUGAGUUGCGAACGGGUGAGUAACGCGUAGGUAACCUGCCUCUUAGCGGGGGAUAACUAUUGGAAACGAUAGCUAAUACCGCAUAAAAGUCGAUAUCGCAUGAUAUUGAUUUGAAAGGUGCAAUUGCAUCACUAAGAGAUGGACCUGCGUUGUAUUAGCUAGUUGGUGAGGUAACGGCUCACCAAGGCGACGAUACAUAGCCGACCUGAGAGGGUGAUCGGCCACACUGGGACUGAGACACGGCCCAGACUCCUACGGGAGGCAGCAGUAGGGAAUCUUCGGCAAUGGGGGCAACCCUGACCGAGCAACGCCGCGUGAGUGAAGAAGGUUUUCGGAUCGUAAAGCUCUGUUGUAAGAGAAGAACGAGUGUGAGAGUGGAAAGUUCACACUGUGACGGAACUACCAGAAAGGACG